AGUGAACGCUGGCGGCAGGCCUAACACAUGCAAGUCGAGCGGAAGAACGGUGCUUGCUUCUGGUUUCAGCGGGGGACGGGCGAGUGAUGCCUAGGAAUCUGCCUGGCUGUGGUGGAUAACGUCCUGAAACAGGCGCUAAUACCGCAAAAGCCCAGAGGGAGAAAGGGGGGGAUCUUCGGACCUUACGCUCUCAGAUGAGUGUAGGUCGGAUUAGCUAGUUGGUGGGGUAAAGGCCUACCAAGGCGACGAUCCGUAGCUGGUCUGAGAGGAUGAUCAGCCACACUGGAACUGAGACACGGUCCAGACUCCUACGGGAGGCAGCAGUGGGGAAUAUUGGACAAUGGGCGAAAGCCUGAUCCAGCCAUACCGCGUGUGUGAAGAAGGUCUUCGGAUUGUAAAGCACUUUUGGUGGGGAGGAAAAGCAGUAGGUUAAUACCUUGCUGUUUUGACGGUACCCACAGAAUAAGCACCGGCUAACUUCGUG
rnacentral:rRNA from 1 species